ACCGGCAGCUCAAGUGGUGGCCAUUAUUAUUGGGCCUAAAGCGUUCGUAGCCGGUUUGAUAAGUCUCUGGUGAAAUCCCGCAGCUUAACUGUGGGACUUGCUGGAGAUACUAUCAGACUUGAGGUCGGGAGAGGUUAGGGGUACUCCCAGGGUAGGGGUGAAGUCGUAUAAGCCUGGGAGGGCAACCAGUGGCCAAGGGGCGGAACUCGGACGAACCUGACGGCUAGUAACGGAAGCCAGUGGCGCGAUCCG
rnacentral:rRNA from 1 species